AUGCCAAAAAUUAUUAUUCCAACAAUUAUACUGUUACAAUAUAACUCUCCAAAAACUCUAUAGUCUGAAUAUAGCUACUCAUAGCCUAUUCAUCAGCCUCAUUACCCUAUUAUUUUUUAAUCAACCAAACAAUAAUUCAUCUAACUUCUCAUUAACUUUUUCUUCUGACGCAUUAACAUCACCUCUUCUAAUCCAAACAGCCUGACUACUACCUCUUAUAAUCCUAGCAGGCCAACAUCACCUAUCUAAUGAAUCACCCUUAUGGAAAAAAACUCCGUAUUUCCAAAUUAAUUUUCCUACAACUUUUUUAAAUUACAGCAUUUACAGCCACAGAACUAGUCAUACUUUACAUUCUUUUCGAAGCUACACUCAUCCCUACCCUAAUCAUUAUUACCUGCUGAGGUAACCAACCAGAAUGCCUAAUGCAAGCUCAUACUUAUUUUACACACUAGUAGGAUCCCUUCCCUUACUUAUUACACUCAUCCACACCUGAAAUAGCUCAGGUUCACUAAAUAUCCUAAUAAUAAUGUUUACUAAUCAAGAACUAUUAAACUUCUGAUCUAACAACCUUAUAUGACUAGCAUGUAUUAUGGCUUUUAUAGUAAAAAUACCCCUAUACGAACUUCACCUAUGACUCCCUAAAGCCCACAUAGAAGUCUCUAUUGCCAGCUCAGUAGUUAGGAGGCUACGGUAUCAUAUGACUUACCCUCAUCCUCAGCCCCCUAAUAGAAUAUAUAUCCUACCCCUUCCUCAUACUAUCCUUAUGAGGAAUAGUUAUAACAAGCUCUAUUUGUCUAAGACAAACUGAUUUAAAAUCACUUAUCACUCAUUCCUCCGUAAGCCACAUAGCACUUGUUAUUAUAGCUAUCCUUAUUCAAACCCCCUGAAGCUUUUCAGGCGCAGUCACUUUACUUCAACUUCGGCAAUAUCAAAAUUGUCUGCUGCAAUGCAAAAGUCACAGUGAAUACACUGCUAGAAAUACCAUGUCUCGUUGUGGCUAGAAUAAAAACAAUCACUUGUGAGUUUUGUGCAC
rnacentral:lncRNA from 1 species